UUCCGGUUGAUCCUGCCGGACCCUACUGCUAUCGGGAUAGGACUAAGACAUGUUAGUCGGGCGUCUCUAAGCCAUGAAAGAGACGCGGCGUACGGCUCAGUAGCAUGUGGCUAACCUAACCUAAGGACAGAGACAACCCCGGGAAACUGGGGCUAAUCCCUGAUAGGCGUGGACUCCUGGAAUGGAUUCACACCCAAAGAGCAUUUGAUUCAUGCUUCAGAUGUUGCCUUAGGAUGGGGCCGCAACCGAUCAGGUCGUUGGCGAGGUAACGGCUCACCAAGCCUAUAACCGGUACGGGCCGCGGGAGCGGUAGCCCGGAGAUGGACACUGAGACAAGGGUCCAGGCCCUACGGGGCGCAGCAGUCGCGAAAACUUCACAAUACGCGAAAGCGUGAUGGGGCUAUCCCGAGUGCCAUCCGCUGAGGAUGGCUUUUCUCCAGUGUAAGGCGCUGGAGGAAUAAGGAGAGGGCAAGCCUGGUGUCAGCCGCCGCGGUAAUACCAGCUCUCCGAGUGGUAGGGAUGUUUAUUGGGCUUAAAGCGUCCGUAGCCGGCUCAGAAAGUCCUCCGUUAAAUCCAACGAUUCAAUCGUUGGACUGCGGGGGAUACUCUUGGGCUUGGGGACGGGAGAGGUCGACGGUAUUCCCGGAGUAGGGGUGAAAUCCUAUAAUUCCGGGAGGACCACCAGUGGCGAAGGCUGUCGACUGGAACGAGCUCGACGGUGAGGGACGAAAGCUGGGGGAGCGAACCGGAUUAGAUACCCGGGUAGUCCCAGCCGUAAGCGAUGCGGGCUAGGUGUUAGGGUGGCCACGAGCCACUCUAGUGCCGCAGCGAAGGCAUUAAGCCCGCCGCCUGGGGAGUACGGUCGCAAGGCUGAAACUUAAAGGAAUUGGCGGGGGAGCACCACAAAGCGUGAAGCGUGCGGUUUAAUUGGAUUCAACGCCGGA
rnacentral:rRNA from 1 species